rnacentral:rRNA from 1 species
UACGUAGGGUGCAAGCGUUGUCCGGAAUUAUUGGGCGUAAAGAGCUCGUAGGCGGCUUGUCGCGUCGGAUGUGAAAGCCCGGGGCUUAACUCCGGGUCUGCAUUCGAUACGGGCAGGCUAGAGUUCGGUAGGGGAGAUCGGAAUUCCUGGUGUAGCGGUGAAAUGCGCAGAUAUCAGGAGGAACACCGGUGGCGAAGGCGGAUCUCUGGGCCGAUACUGACGCUGAGGAGCGAAAGCGUGAGGAGCGAACAGG